ensembl:lncRNA
AUUAGCAGUACACAAAGCUGGAUGAAACGAAGUCAGACAGCUGAACUGUUCUUCUAUUACAUUAAGAUUUUUUGACUUACAUUUUUCAGCAAGCAUGACACACCAUAUCGAGCUUCUUCAAAAACUUUUAUCAGCCAUAACCAAAGCUGUGAGCAUUAUCCUGCUCAUAGUCACUUUCUUCAUUCUUCAGUACUUACUGGAUAUGGAUUAUGUUUGUUCCUGCGAUCCAGAUUCACAUAUGACUGGUAUUGCAGUCUUCAUGGCUCUCCCACCUUUCAUCCUCAGUUGUUUAGUCACCUUAAUUGAGUCUUGCUACAAAAAGACAAUUUAUUAUCAUGGUUUUUGGAAUUUCAUACAGUUUUCUAUCUUUUUUGUGGGCAAAUAUAUGUUUCUGACUUGCAUUUGGGGAGGCACUGUUAUGCUUGAGGGUGACUGGUACAUCUGUCUAAAAACAAACAUUGAUAGAAACCACACAGGAAUUGCUUGUAAGGAGAAUCUGACAAAUGAGGAAAAGCACACCAAAGCUAAAUAUAAGAAUGCGUCAAUGAACAUUGCCUUUUAUGUUUUGACUCUGCUUUUCGCAAUUUGGAAUAUCUACGAAUUGUGUAAACCCUUUUGUAUGAGAAUCUUCAACAAGAACAAGUUCACAGGGUUGCCCUCCUACUACCGAUGGAUGUAUGAAGAACUUCUUUCAGAGGAGGUGAGCAACCACUUGAAAGAAGAGUUAAAAAAUAUAGCAGAAGAAAAAGCAAAGAAACUCUGUGAAGGAUACUUGAAUGAUAUUCGAAAAGCUGAGCUGCAGAGACAACCAGAAAAUCACGAUAGCAACAAUUCCAAUAAUUCUAACAGUAAUGAUGAACGUAAUCCCAAGGACAGUGGAAGUGAAGCCGUCAGUACCGACACCCUCAUGUCCAAUUCUGACAGCAAUGCUGACCAAAAUUCAUCUGUCACAGCUGCCUGGCAUAAAAUUUCUGAACCACAUUUCUACCUGAACGAUUGCGCUCAGGUGGGGCAGAGCUAAAAACAAUGUUACUGUGACAAAAAUAAGCUUUACAGAGACUGUUGUUGGUUCUUGCAUUAGUUUCCAUUUAAUUUCAAAUAUUUUUUUAAACUUUAAUGCUUGUUUCAAAGUCGCUGCACGCUCUGUUCAGUAUGCCCUCGAUACACUGUUCUAAUACUGGUGAACCUUCUUUUACCUCCAAGGUGCUGAAGCCAUGUAAUAAAUUACAUUAUAUGGUGCUUUAACAUUAUCAACAUUAUCAAAAUUUUAAACCAAAGACAUUCCUAUUUAUCCGUGCCAUUCAGUCACUAUGUUUGUUUUCACUAUUUUACGCUAUAUUUAGCAAUUUGUAAAGUUUUUAAGUUUUACGUCAACUCUUUUUUAUUGGUUUUAUUGUGUGGUUAUUAUCUAUUUUACUGGUGUAUUCAUAGUGUUAGUAAGGGUCUUGCCAAAGUUCUGUUUAUGCAUUUAAAUCAAGGUUUAUUAUCUUGUUGCAUGAACCUAUCAGGUUCAUUUAAGUGACUCUUUAACUAUAUCUACAGAUAAAUCAUCAUGGCACAGUCUGAUAUAAAUGUAAUAUGUGUAAAGCGUUAUUAUUAAAUACAGAGAAUUGUAUCGUCAGAUAGAAAUACUGUCAAUGUAAACAAAGUCUGUGUGAGUAACACCUUUGUAAAUAAAUUCUUUUCUUCUGUUCAACAUUGUCAGCUGAGCAAAUUACACAAAUAAAUGUCUCAUACGUCC